rnacentral:SRP_RNA from 1 species
GCCAGGCACGGUGGCGCAUGCCUGUAGUCCCAGCUAUCCGGGAGGCUGAGGUGGGAGGGUUGCUUGAGCCCAUGGGUUCUAGGCUGUGGUGCGCUAUGGUGAUCGGGUGUCUGCACUAAGUUCAGCAUCAACAUGGUGACUUCCCAGGACCAGGAGUGGGGGACCACCAGGUUGCCUAAGGAGGUGUGAAUCGGCCCAGGUAGGAAAUGGAGCAGGUCAGAACUCCCGUGCGGAUCAGCAGUGGGAUCACGCCUGUGAAUAGCCACUGCAAUCCAGCCUGGGCAACAUAGCGAGACUCUGUCUCA